rnacentral:tRNA from 1 species
GGUAUCGUGGUGUAGUGGUUCAUUCACUUGACUCUCAAUCCUGGAGUUGAGGGUUCGAAUCCCAGCCCGGUACCA